rnacentral:rRNA from 1 species
CAGCCGCCGCGGUAAUACCGGCGGCCCGAGUGGCGGUCACUAUUAUUGGGCCUAAAGCGUCCGGAGCCGGGCUGGUAAGUCCUCCGGGAAAUCUGGUCGCUUAAAGAUCAGACUUCCGGAGGAUACUGCUGGCCUAGGGACCGGGAGAGGCCGAGGGGAUUCCCGGGGUAGGGGUGAAAUCCUGUAAUCCCGGGAGGACCACCUGUGGGGAAGGCGCUCGGCUGGAACGGGUCCGACGGUGAGGGACGAAGGCCAGGGGAGCGAACCGGAUUAGAUACCCGGGUAGUCCUGGCUGUAAACGAUGCGGACUAGGUGUCGGGCAAGCUAAGGGCUUGUCCGGUGCCGCAGGGAAGCCGUUAAGUCCGCCGCCUGGGGAGUACGGCCGCAAGGCUGAAACUUAAAGGAAUUGGCGGG